rnacentral:rRNA from 1 species
CCUACGGGGGGCUGCAGUGGGGAAUUUUGGACAAUGGGGGCAACCCUGAUCCAGCCAUUCCGCGUGAGUGAAGAAGGCCUUCGGGUUGUAAAGCUCUUUUGUCCGGAGCGAAACGGGCGGCCCUCAUACGGUCGUCUACUGACGGUACCGGAAGAAUAAGCACCGGCUAACUACGUGCCAGCAGCCGCGGUCAUACGUAGGGUGCGAGCGUUAAUCGGAAUUACUGGGCGUAAAGCGUGCGCACAGGGGUGGAAGCCCCGGGCUCAACCUGGGAAUGGCAUUUGGGACUGCAAGGCUGGAGUGUGGCAGAGGGGACUAGAAUUCCUGGUGUAGCAGUGAAAUGCGUAGAUAUCAGGAGGAAUACCGAUGGCGAAGGCAGGUCCCUGGGUUAACACUGACGCUCAUGCACGAAAGCGUGGGGAGCAAACAGGAUUAGAUACCCUAGUAGUC